UCCGGCCUACGGGAGGCAGCAGUGGGGAAUAUUGGGCAAUGGGCGCAAGCCUGACCCAGCAACGCCGCGUGAAGGAAGAAGGCUUUCGGGUUGUAAACUUCUUUUCUGAGGGACGAAGGAAGUGACGGUACCUCAGGAAUAAGCCACGGCUAACUACGUGCCAGCAGCCGCGGUAAUACGUAGGUGGCAAGCGUUAUCCGGAUUUAUUGGGUGUAGAGGGCGUGUAGGCGGGAAUGCAAGUCAGAUGUGAAAUCCACGGGCUCAACCCGUGAACUGCAUUUGAAACUGUUUCCCUUGAGUGUCGG
rnacentral:rRNA from 1 species